UGCCUUGUUCUACAGCAUCUCCCCGUGGGAUUUCAUUUUCACCUUCACUCUUCUUGAUCAAGAGUGAAGAGAAUCGAGAUAGUCUCAUUUUGGAUCCUGCGUCAUAGAAUGUGGCCUCGAAGGUCCCUCAGGGUCACUCUGGGCCAACCCCAUGCUUCUGGGCCUGUUUACGCCCAAAGUAAGCAAAGAAGGAUCUGACCUUCCUCCCAAGGCCUGCAAAGCAAUACAGAUGGACAGCAAGAACAACAAGAAGCCUCAUGAAGCCAACAAGCUUUCUUCAGUUCACAGACAAUUGGGCCUCCUCCAUGUUUCAACCAAGAUCUGCUGAGUGAAUGAAUGUAAUUAAGGAACUUGAGCUCCACGCGGUCAAGAGCAGUCUGCUGUGUCCUCUCUUGUCAUCCCAGAACCUGAACGUUGUCAGCC